GUACUCCUAAACUGGUUAUCUUCUUUACUGCAACAACUGAUUUAUCUGGCAAUGUGCCCUUGUAUACAGCACCAAACCCACCUGACCCAAUCUGGGUUUUAAAAUUAUCAGUAGCCACCUCAAGCUCUUCGAGGUCAAACCUUUGGGGUAAGCCUGGGAUGUAGAAGGAAUCCAGAUCACCAGAAGAAAGUGAGCUUGCAUGACCUAGUUUUAUCUCUCUAUUAGAAACUUUCCAUCUUCUCCACCAGAGGAAACCAAGAACAACCAUGAGGAGGAGUCCAGUGCAAGGUAAAAGCACCAGAGCAAUUACAGGGAAUUGUUGACUUUGACUACUGUAAGU
rnacentral:misc_RNA from 1 species